rnacentral:sRNA from 1 species
AGGAGGAGAGAAGGGAACAGGAGGGGACUGGAGCGGGGGUUGGAGGAGAGAAAAGAAAAGAAUGAACAACGCAGCUACUCAUUUCCGGUUCUCGGAACUUGGGACCGCUGGUACUGGCCUGAGAGGAGGUCCACGAGUGCUAUGGUUUGAACAUUCUUUCUCAUCACCAGAGUUCACACGGAAAGCCCCAGUGUGGGAGUGUUGAGAUGCCCUCAGACCUUUAAGAGGUCUCCCACCGUGAUGAUAAGGAACUAAACCAUUGUGAGCCAGCUCCAAAUUACAUGCUUUCCUAUAUAAGAGUUGCGUGGUCAUGGUGUCUCUUCACAGCAAUAGAUCAUUGACUAAGGCUGGUGGUGGCGGCAGCAGCAGAAGCAGCAGCAGCAUGUGGAGGCAGAGGCAGGAGAAUGAAUCUCUGAGAUCAAGACCAGUCUGGCAGUGCUACGCAGAGAACCCCUGUCUGAAAAGAAAAGAAAAAAGUUAAAACAAACAAACAAACUCCCAAACGAACAAUUAAGACAGUACUCAGUUCAAAUGUUCCAUCGCGGCAACAGAAAUCAGACUUAGACGGUAAGAUGUUCUUAUCUCCCUUUUCAGCUCAGAUGUAACCCCAUCUCACAGGCUUGCUGUUCUCGUUGUGUUCAGCUGGCCGUGGUGCUCCGUUGACGAUCCUCAGGAGCUCGAUUCGGUAUCGCUCCGCUCUGUUUGUAAUAGAAGACUCAGAGACUUAACAGCUACCCACCAUGCCUGUUGCCAUCUUCCAAGAAUCCUCCUCGUUGACUUUAAUGAGAAGAAAUUCACAUGAAUGAACACACAUAUGCACACAUAGACAGAAACAUAGACAGUUGGUUUAUGGAGUUCACCAGGCUCAAUACAAGCUUUAGGUGUUCAGGCCUCAGGGAUUCUUCGGUUUCUCUGCCAGUGACACUUGGGAUGUGUCCUACUGCCAAGAACCUUGGCUUAAAUCUUCUGGGCCUAACUCAAGUUAUCAGAGGCAAUCUGAAGACAUUUUCUGUCCUCAGUGUGCCAUGUGUUUUGAUCCUUGUAUCUGGGCAGGCAGGGCGCUCUAAAAUAGUGCUCAAUGGUUAAGAGCAUUUGUUACUCUUACACAGGACUUAGGUUUGGUUCCCAGCACCCAUGUGGUGGCUCACAACGGACUCCAGUUCCAACCAAUCCCAGUUCUACCAGCACCCACCCUCUCUACACCUCCUCCGGUACUAGGCACACACAUGGUGACUAAUACAUGCAGGCAAAACACUCAUACACAUAAAAUAAACAAACCUAAAAGAUU